ensembl:lncRNA
CUUGCUUAUUAAAAAUGGCCUCAUCUGAUUGGUUCAAAUCGCCUAAUGCGGAGUUACACCAAUCAGGAAUCACGUAUCAGUGCUGUCCCCACGGUUUAACUUUACUAUUUGGUCCCUCUUUAAAUUUGCACUUCAAAAUAAAAGACUCAUUAAAACGUAAUGAGGCAGUAACAUUGGCGUGCAGUAAAGAUUCUGUCUUUUGGUAAAAACAAAAAGAAAGUAAGCUAAUAUAAAUAAGCUAACGGUUUAGGAAUGUCUUUAGGAUUUGAAAAUAAGCUAAUUCAGAAUCUGUCCGAAAUGAAAGUGUAUGUGUUGUCCAAAUUAUAAAGUCCCAAUCAGAAAAGUUACUUUUGGAACAGUUCAUUUUAUGAUGUGCAUGCAUGCUGCAUUUAGCUGUAAGCUUAUUUUAUGUCGAGCUUACGUUUUCAUUUACACAGUAUUGAAAAUAUUAUUCACAUUAAAUGUGAAAACUAGUAAUUGAAAUGUGUUGAAUAUAUGCGGACCUGACAUAUAUUUCUCAUACCAAAAAUGUGUUCCAAUCAGAUUAGUAUUUAAAGGUUGGGUAUGGAAUUCUCUUUUUUGGCCAUUUUUACAAAAUUACUUGAAAUCCUUAUCGUAAUCCACUUACAGCCACUGAGUUAGAAGUACUGACAUGAAAAUUAAACGAGUCAAUCAUCUGUGGAACGGGCAGGGCUCGAAAAACUCCAGCCAAUGAUUUCCAGAACCACCGAGUGGCAUUGGACAGUAAGUACGUCAAUCAAACGGUCGUACUGCACUCCCCCUCCCCUGCUCCCCGCGUGUGACCCCUUCGUGCACGUACUCAAAGCUCGUGACCCAGAGCAAGCUUCUUUUUGUUGUCAUCCUGCGAUAGCUACUGGAGCUAGCUAACUAGCUAAUCCACAUUUGGACCUAGCGCUAGAAGACAACCCUAAACUCCAACCUAGCUAGCAUGGCUCGCUCUCGCGCAUCUGUGUUCGCUCGUGCAUGAUUGUGCGUCCAUGUACUUGAAAUAGGACUAUUUGAGUUGUGUAUUUUCAAAAUCUGCUAUCGCAAAUCCCAUACCCAACCUUUAAGGCCCCAAACCAUGUUUGCUCUAUGGCACCCCCUGUUGAACCACUUCGGUGUUACGCCUUCAUUGAAUUGAAAGGUUAACAAUUGACAACCGUUCUUAGCAGUAAAACAGUUGGCAUGAUUAUGCAUACCUAUUAUUUGUAAAAACGAUUUUAUUUUGCAUCGCUAAAACGUGUUACCAUGGUAACGAUGAAUUGGCCCUUAAAAAACGACGCCUGGAGUCUGACCCCAGUGUACAUUUCAGAUCAAGUCCCAAAAAUGACAGAAAGAUUCAAUUAGGCUAUCUGUGUCUUUGCCAUCAAAUGCAAAAACGCAAUCGAGCAAAUAAAAAAUCCAUUUACGUAAACGUAUAACGAAAAUACAUAUUACAAAACACAGGUCUGUUUAUAUGAAGGCAGGUUCUGGGAUAUCUCCCGUUUUAAAGACGUAGUUCAGGAGCCGAUCGCAGAAGAUCUCACACAACAUUAUGCAACUUCUUCCUCUGACCGGGACUUCAGUCUGACCAAACAGCAGACCAGAGCUAUGAAACAUUCAUUCAAAUGGUGGCUUUGUCGAUCUAAAUCGCAUAAAAUGUAUGAUUAGUUUUUUUUUGUUCUCCAACAAACUAGUAUUAGCGCCGGUGGUCUAAACGUUACUGAACGGCGAUGAGCUCAAGCUAAAGAUUCAAAACCCAUCCUUCACCCUAACCCAGCUCCCCUCUACCUCCUGGGACUUAAGCUUUGACCUUGGGAAGAGGAGGACUUGUGUAGUUCUGAUAUAGCAAACCACUGCCACCAAACAUGAAUGAUCACAUACACUUCUUAUUUUUUUUCAAUUGUCUUUUAUUUUGAAAAGUCUGGUUUUCACCGACAGGGUUAUCACUUCCAGGGUCAUCCUCUGCUGUUGUCUCAGGGUGCCAAGAUGAAUCUCGCCGCUGACCUCUGGUGCUACUCGCCUCCCGUCGCUUUGCUAGAACCAUCCCUCUGUCGGCCAUCUU